UACGAAGGGAGCUAGCGUUGUUCGGAAUCACUGGGCGUAAAGCGCAUGUAGGCGGAUCCAUAAGUCGGGCGUGAAAUCCCCAGGCUCAACCUGGGAACUGCGUUCGAAACUGUGGGUCUAGAGUGUCGGAGAGGAUGGCGGAAUUCCUGGUGUAGAGGUGAAAUUCGUAGAUAUCAGGAGGAACACCGGUGGCGAAGGCGGCCAUCUGGACGAAAACUGACGCUGAGAUGCGAAAGCGUGGGGAGCAAACAGG
rnacentral:rRNA from 1 species